rnacentral:rRNA from 1 species
UGGUGGAGUGAUUUGUCUGGUUAAUUCCGAUAACGAACGAGGCUCUGUCCUGCUAACUAGGUUGUGUUUUCUCGGGUUGGUGUUUCUGGUGUUCCUUCUCGGGGCGCCGGCCCAAUCCACUUGUGAACACAACACUCUUCUUAGAGGGACUGGCGGCUGUUAGCCGCACGAGAUAGAGCAAUAACA